GAAUCUGUCUUCUCCCCCCCCAUAGGGACACCUACUGGGAACCCUGAAUGAACUGCCUAUGGAUGGAAGGAUUAGCCUAUACCAACCGUGAAUGCAUACACACAAAUAUGUCAUCUAUUUUAGCUGUGGUGCUAUUUCUACAGUGCAUGGUCAGCUGGAAACACAAAUUUUAAGAUGACAAAGAGCAAUGCUGCACCCAUGCUAAUAUUCCAGGGGCUGGCAAUGAUGCCUCUUGUAACCUGUGGCCUGAAAACUCUAGAGUGGCCAUGUUCCCAAGCCUACCUUUAGUACACUUGAAGCUACAUUCCAGUAAAACACACUUAAACUUAGCCACUGUAGUUGUGCAUGGAACUGAAGUAUAUGCACAGCAUGAGUAGAAGUGGGAGAAACCAUACAUAAAAAAGAUUGAAAUAACUCACUAAGUACCACUUCUGAAGCAUUAGCACUCCAAGCAAUGCCAGAGGAAGAAAUACAAAUAAGGGUGCUGGGCAAUCAAGGGAUCAAUCCAUGAAAAAGCCAUUGAAAUAUGUCAUACUAAUCUUUCUAAACCAGGUAACAACAAGAAGUCUUGUUAUGAAAUACCAGAAUCUGGUACCAGCUGGUGCUAUUUUACUUUUACACAUACUUGCAUUUUAUUCCUGGGGAACAUGUAACGUAGAACUAUUGUUUGAUUUUGUGAUUGUCAAAUGCAAAUUGUGACAUUUUUGUGGCCAUGGAUAGAGAUGUACAUACUUCCAGACGUGCCUAAGCCUGGUCUAAAUUUGUCUGCAGUAGUUCUACACAAUAACAUCACCUCUUACAGGCAAGAGUGGAUUAUGCAAGUGAAAAUAAAAAAAAAAAAAAAAAAAAAAAAUCAACAAAUACCAUCUUUAAGGGUAAUUAAAGGAGACAUCAUUUUGAUAGGAUGCUGAAUUGAAAAGCACACUAAAUGCAUGACAGUCUUCCACAUUAUUGUAAACUAUGCUGAAGGAGAAGACAAUGUACAUAUCUAUCCUUUUAAACAUGAAUCAUAGAAUGGUUAGGGUUGGAAAGGACCUUAAGAUCAUCUAGUUCCAAGAAUGCUGGUAUACUUCAAAACUACCCCUUUCAGCACUCACAACGUGUCACUGGACAGACUCAACUCUCAUUUGAGCUUAGGUCUUCAAUUCAAGAUUAAUAUUGAACAAGCAUAUUCACUAACUCAGCCCCCUACCCAACUGUCUCUCACAUUUAUAACGCUGGUAAAAGAUAUGAGACGGUGAAGAAGGUACCCUACCCACUGAAAUUUGGGAAGUAAUUUGGGAUAAUGCAAUUGACUUUUUGAAAAAGUUCCAGUCCUGGUGGUAUUUAGUAAAUUUUACUUACAAUCCCAUCAACAGCAUGGCCACAGCUCUUGUGUUAACUAUACACAAUGCUUCAGUUUAUACUAUAUACCCAAUCAUUGUUAGUACUGAAUCACAAUGGAGCUAUAUUCUAUCCCCUAGAGCAUAGGCCCAAAGGAUGGAAAUAAAUGGCAAUAUCCAUUCAAGCAUUGCGUGCAAACAGCAAGGAUUUAUUUGAGAGUAAUACCUUCAAAGCUCAAGACAUUUGUCUUGACUCUGAACAGAACAUUUGCCAUUUUGAAAUACAUCCUAAUGAAAACUUUGAAACUGUAAUUGUAUGUAUUGGCAAAGGAUGCACAAGCAUGGAAACUCUGUGCUUUUAUACACAAAGAUAAUAUUACCUGGAAUACAAACAAUCACUCAACUAUUUGUGUUUGUAAUUUUGUUGAGAUUAUAGGACGCGAUUUCACUUACUCAGCUCCUGUCACAUCUUAUUGACUGAUGAGAUGCUUAUUCAAGACCUACUGCCUACCCCUAUUGGGAUGAAUCUCAAUUUAAUAAGAAAAUUGCUACAAUAUGAAGACCUGAAAUGGUUGCUGAAGCAAGAUCAGGACAAUGGGCAAAAGAUUAAUUGCUGUCCAUCACGACGCAGAAGAAAUACAUCAUGUGCUGGAAUGAGCAAAGAAAGAUGCAGAACAUCAGUGGGGAACUCUUCUUGGAUGGUCACCAACUGCUACAGGAAUUCUCAACAACAUGCUUCACCUUGUUGCUAUUCUAACUGAUAUUAACUAUUUUGCUCUUCAUCACUGUAUUGUAGAUUAGAAUCUGGAUUAUUGUAAAGUGAGUCAUUUAUCACUUUCCCCCGGAGAAUGUAUACGUGCAUGACAAUCCGCAUACUAUAUAUGCAGAAGAUAUCCCUAAAUCAGACUAAAUAUUAUGAAGCUUGAGUGACUAUAGUCACCGUGUGGAUUAUGUGGGAAAAUGGGGGAAAUUAGAGACCAAUCCUCCAAACUCCCAAAGUUAUAAUAUAACAUUAAGGAAAUUUUAGGGUAAAAUGCAGCUGCUACUUCCAGCAUGGAAUGUGGUUGGCAUGCACAGAAUCUCCCAGAAGAUAGUUCCCCAGGCAACCCUGCAAUCUUGGCAUAUGCUGAGAAACUGAACGGAGGGUGGAGCGGAGUGAAGGCCCCGCGGCCAGGCUCUGUUGUACUCCCUGCAGGAGUGGGAACUUGAAAGCACCAUGCACUGAUAAAUUGCACACAGCUGCCAAACAAGCAAACUACAUUUAUGUUAUGAAAAGCAAAGCAAGAGAAUUUUA